ensembl:lncRNA
CAGAACUGAAUUGACCCCGCAUCCGAGGCCAGGGGCGGCAGCUAGGAGGAGCAACCUCACGUCCAAGGAGCGGUGGCUGCCUGGGCACAGGAGGGCCUAGAGGAGCUAUCCCAUACUGAAGGUCAGUAAGGGUGGUGGUGAGGAGAACCCUUCACCCAAGGUAAGGAGCAGCAGCUGCGCUAGGCUGGAGCAGCCUUGAAGAGAUACCCCAUGCCCAAGGCUAGAAUACAGUUCCUGGGCUUUUAUCUCACAGCUUGAGAUGAAAUAAAUUAUAAAGGAAAUUAUACAGCAAAAAAAGAAGGAAAAAAAAAAAGAAAGAAAUAGAAAAAAUAACAGCACUCAAGUACCAGUAUGUAAAACAAAGAACAUGCAGAAACAGUUUUCAGUACAGAAAAUAAAGGGCUCAAAAAUCCCCCAAUAUAUUCAGCCUCCAAGUACUGAAAUAAUUGUGAAGUAAGGCCCUUUGCCAUAUUACUGUUU